AAGAGAAAUUCAUUUCUCUUUUCUUUCUUCUCUCUUCUUCUUCUUUGUUUCUCCCUUUCUCUUCUCUGUCGUUUUUAUUCUCAGUGGUUUGAGCCUGAGUCUCUCGAAAUUAGAUCUUAGAAAGCUCGUAGUUGUUGAUUUGAGGGAGAAGGUGAUGCUGAUGCUGUCGACUGGGUUUUAGAAUAAUCAGAAAAAGGGUUAGUCGUUAUUAACAACGAUCGAUUCAAAGGAUGAUCCAGUGGAUUGAACAUCUCGAGGUAGGCGAGGCUUGUCAUCAAAAGAGGUACUAGAAACACCAACACAUAGUGGUUUGCAGACACCCAUACACGUUCGAUCUUGGGAAUCCUAAUGCUACCGCAACUCCGGGCAAGCUGAACCAGUCCACAGUGUCAGUUUGGAAGUCCCCUCUGCUGAUAUGAAGCAUCAGCACUGACCACAAGUUCAGGUUGGGAGUAGAGAUAUAUAGUUGAAGCUGUUUGGAACCCCAAUGGUAAUAAAUCAGGGAUAUCAUCUGGUAGCACAGUAGACUAAUAGCAUUCAGUAGCAUAACUUAGUUUGUAUUGAAAUUUUUAGAUACAAAGCUACAUCAUUCCUUUUGAGCUUCAGAGUCCUAAUUUCAGUUUCUUUUAAGUUGCAUUGGUUCCUACUAUCCUCUUUGUGAGUUUAUCAUGGCAAUCUGACAUCUUGAUAACUAUCAACUUAAAAGGGCUAAGGGAUAACUUUUCAGUAGUGUAUAUGAUGAUAUUUCCUCUCCAAAUUAGACAAGCGAUUGAACUUUUCAUCAA